rfam:Picea glauca, whole genome shotgun sequence.
GUUGCUAACUACACAGAUGGAGACAUCCAAUAAAAUUGGAACGAUAAAGAGAAGAUUAGCAUGGCUCCUGCGCAAGGAUGAUACGCACAAAUCGAGAAAUGGUCCAAAUUUUU